rnacentral:rRNA from 1 species
GACGAACGCUGGCGGCGUGCUUAACACAUGCAAGUCGAACGGAAAGGCCCUGCUCAUGUGGGGGGCUCGAGUGGCGAACGGGUGAGUAACACGUGAGUAACCUGCCCUUGACUUUGGGAUAACUUCAGGAAACUGGGGCUAAUACCGGAUAGGAGCUCCUGCUGCAUGGUGGGGGUUGGAAAGUUUCGGCUGUUGGGGAUGGACUCGCGGCUUAUCAGCGUGUGGGUGCGGUAGUGGCUUACCAAGGCUUUGACGGGUAGACGGCCUGAGAGGGGGACCGGCACAAGUGGGACUGAGCUACGGGCGGGAGCCCUGCGGGAGGCAGGAGUGGGGAAUAGUGCAUGAUGGGCGGAAGCCUGGUGCAGCAACGCGGUGUGCGGGAUGAUGGCCUUCGGGUAUUAAACCGCAUACGCCUGGGACGAAGCGGGAGUGACGGUAAUGGGUAAAGAAGGACCGGCUAACUACGUG